rnacentral:rRNA from 1 species
UACAGAGGUCUCAAGCGUUGUUCGGAUUCAUUGGGCGUAAAGGGUGCGUAGGUGGCGGGGUAAGUCAGGUGUGAAAUCUCGGGGCUCAACCCCGGAACUGCACUUGAUACUGCCUUGCUCGAGUACUGGAGAGGAGAUUGGAAUUUACGGUGUAGCAGUGAAAUGCGCAGAUAUCGGGAAGAACACCCGUGGCGAAGGCGGCUCUCUGGGACGGUACUGACGCUGAGACGCGAAAGCGUGGGAGCAAACAGG